rnacentral:SRP_RNA from 1 species
UCUGGUGUAGUGGUGCAUGUCUGUAGUCCUAGCUACUCAGGAGGGUGAGGCAGGAGGAUCAGCUGAGUCCAGGAGUUCUGUGCUACAGUGUGCUAUGCUCCUCAGGUGUCCACACUAAGUUCAACAUCAAUAUAGUGACCUCCCUGGAGCAGAGAUCACCAGGUUGCCUAAGGAGGGCGAACUGGUCCAGGUGGGAAAGGGAACAGGUCAAAAUUCCCCUGCUGAUCAGUAGCUGGAUUGUGCCUAUAAAUGCCCACCAUACUCCACCUAGGCAGCACAGCCAGAUCUCUCA